ensembl:lincRNA
AGAUGUUGGGCCGGCCCUCUUGAGUAGAUGGUGUUGCGGACGUAGACUGUUCCGUUCCCGGAGUUAUUCUAGCGGCAGCAUCUCCUUUGCCUCCGACUCUUUCUAAGGCUGCAGGCCUGACAAACCCUGUCGCUCCUUUCCGGAGGACACCGAGCGAGCGCCCUAAGGAGAGACUAAAGCCCUCUCUUCAAUCCCGUGCUGUCUUCUGCAGAGCGGGAAGCCGUGGCUCCUCCAUUCCGUUCUGGCUUCAGGCGUCGGUUUCCCCAAAUUGGUGGUAUUCCCAGGAAAUAAAGAGAAACUGCCAACGCUAGGCGCGGGAUGCUGCGCGAGAAACGAAAAAGUGAGUCGGUCUCUCAGGAGCUUCGGCCCAGGUAUGAAUAUGCAGCACCGCAUUAUACCCUGGGCAGAUGAUGGACUUGUGCUCUAUAAUCACUAUCUGUCAAAAUAAAAACAAAAGAAAAGCCUCAUAACUAUCUUCAAUGCUCCAAAGGUAUGAUAUCCCAAGCAGUAACAGUACUCACUUUCUUUUACUGUACUUCUACCUUGUUAUUUUGUUGCUAGGAUAAUUCAAGUUGUCCAACCUCAGCUCUACGAUGCCCAGUACCCUGUAUGGAAACGGGCAAGUGCCUGGUAGAUGUCAGUUCACCAGGCAGACUAAGAAGCCGCCACUGUGUAUUACCCAUGGAAUACAAGAACACAUUACCUAGAUGUGAGCUUCCCAUAGCUUAACCAUUUCUCAAUACUCAAGGCAGUCAGUAAACAAGAGAAUGUAUUUGGCAUUAAAAAAACCAACAAAAACUUAAGUCAUACUUUUUUGGGGGAAGGAUUUAGAUUUAUUUGAGUUUAUGUGUCUUGAGUCAUAGUCUUGCCUACAUUGUUUUGUCUGUGCACCACCUGCAAACCUGGUACAUAAGAAAGUCAGAAAAGGGUGCUGGAACCAAUGGAAUUGGAAUUAUAGGUAGUUCUAACCUGCAGGUACUUGGAACCACUGAGAGCAGCAAGUCUCUUAACCACUGAGAGAUCGCUCUAGCUCCGGUUUAUUUAACAGUACUCAAAAAGUUCUGUUAAUGGUACCAGUCAUUUGUUCUUAUUCUCCCAAGAUGGUCAGGUUAAAUAUAAGCAGACCCAAGUCUAAAACCUUUACAAAGUAAACAUUACUUAAAUUUUACCAACAAACCAAAAAUAAAAUGAAAUUUACAAGAAAAUACUACCUGGUAAUUAAAAAAAAAAAGAUAAAUUAUUAUAUUUAAGUAUACUGUAGCUGUCUUCAGACAAUCCAGAAGAGCUCGUUACAGAUGACUGUGAGCCAUCAUGUGGUUGCUGAGGUUUGAACUUCAGGAGCAGCCGGUGCUCUUAACCGCUGAAUCAUCUCUCCAGCCCCUACCUGAUAAAUUUUUACAGCAUCUUGGAACUGUGAGAUACUAUAGUUGUAAUGUACAAAUGAGUCCCUCUGAUACAGGUCAUGUGGCAUGUCACAAAUACUCAGGACAAAGGCACUGAAAUUAAGUUUUAACAACCAUGAAGAUGAAUGUAGUAACUUCUUUACCUGAGCAUCAAAUGUGCGUCCAGAAUGACAAAGAUUAUUAAGAUCACAAAGGAUGAAUCCUGGAAGAAUCUCUUCCUCUUCAAUUCCUUUCAGUCUGAUUUUGAGGUUUUCACCUGGAGCUACAGAGUCCGUUUCUACAUCAUCAGAAAGUAUUCCAAGAACUUCCACGUUGUGCUUAAAAAGAAACCAAAGUUGGAAGUUUUCUGACACAUGCACAUUUUAUAAGAUAUAAAAUGACCUUGAUGCUUAUUAAGAAGCUACAAAUCUAAAAGUCAAAAUAAAGAUAAAAUAUUUUAGCCAGAAAUAAACUUUUGAGGAAAAGAAAGGGGGUCAAUCUUGGCUUGUCAGACAAGCACUCUGCCACCUGCUGCGGUUGCAGAUGUCACAAUUUGUUGUUUUUAAACAAUACAUUCUAACAACUUCUAAGUAGAAUACAGAACAAACUUCAUUUUCAGAAUGAAACCAUUGUAAUGAUUAGUACUGUCAACCUGACAAGAUCUAGAAUCACUAAGAGGUAAAUGCCCAGGGGCACCUGUGAGGGUCAGUCCCUGGGCACGCUUGCACACAAUUCCCUUAAGCUAACUGAUGUGGGAAGAAUCCUCUUUACUGUGGCCGAGGUCAUUCUGAGCUGGGAGAAAGUGAGCUGAGCGCUAGUAUUUAUCCUCCUCUGUUCACAAAUGCACUGUGAUAGAUCAGUGUCUUCGAACUUCUGUGGCUUUGACUUUCCUGCCAUGAUGGACUGUACCCUUUAACUAAGAAGAGCUGAAAUAAAGCCUUGGUCCUUUGAGUUGCUUCGCUCAGCUCCCCAAAACUAUUGAUUUUAAGCAUGAGUGUUUUACCCACAUGUGUGCCUGGUGCCUGAAAGGUCAGAAGUGGUAACAUCAGAUGCCCUGGAACUGGAGAGAUGUUUCAUUGGGAGCCACUGUGUCACUGUUGGGAAAUGAACCCAGGUCGUCAGCAAGAGCAAGUGCUCCUUAACCACUAAACCAUCUCUCCAGCCUCAUUGCUUUGGUUUUAGAAAAUUACUUUCAUUUAUAUAUAGGUGUGUGCUCAUCUCUGUGUGAAGAGUGCCGUGUAUUGCAUGAAUCAAGUUCCCUUUAAGAGCUGAGUCACCUCUCCAGCCUCUUCCUUGAGUUGUUUUUCUCAGAGUAUUUUAUCAACCACAGAAAACUAAGACAAACAUCAAAUUUAAUAACUGGAUUUUUAACUCUCUUAAAUUUAAAUUUCAGAAUUAAAGAAUUUUUCCCCCACAGCAGGUCAAUCCUCAAUUAAGGAGGUAUUUACCUAGAAAGCAUUAAAAACAUCAAUUUGUUUCUUGGUAUAAUUUUAUAAUACAUCAAAAUAAAAAUUAAAUCUAGCUUUAAACCCAUU